rnacentral:rRNA from 1 species
UACGUAGGGUGCAAGCGUUGUCCGGAAUUAUUGGGCGUAAAGAGCUCGUAGGCGGUCUGUCGCGUCUGCUGUGAAAAUCCAGGGCUCAACCCUGGACCUGCAGUGGGUACGGGCAGACUAUAGUGCGGUAGGGGAGAUCGGAAUUCCUGGUGUAGCGGUGAAAUGCGCAGAUAUCAGGAGGAACACCGGUGGCGAAGGCGGAUCUCUGGGCCGUAACUGACGCUGAGGAGCGAAAGCAUGGGGAGCGAACAGG